AGCUCAAGAGGUCUCAUGGCUGACAGUGAACAUUCCUGCUGUAGGUAGCUCUCAAAAUGUUCUUGUCCCAGUUGGCUACCGAGGGACAUCAGUCUGGCACCCUAUUUUUGAGCAGGGGGUCCAACCCAGCCUGGAGACACGGCACUCCAAGGAGCAGAGUGCCAGGACCACCACAGCACACACCAUCCUGAGUGCAGACACAGUGUACGUGAGAAUGGCUUCCUGAAGGAAGAGUAACCUAAAGAUACCCUGAUGACUUACUUCCAGUGCUGAAGUUGUUCUUCGUGCUGGCAUUUUAUUCUGAAGCAUUUGCAACUUGGCCCUUGUGUGCCUUCCCAUCACCACAGCAUCUGAGCUGCUCUCAGGAUUUAAUGUAUAUUGUCCUCCUGCUCUGUGAGGCAGAGGUUGCCAAUCUCACCAUUUUACACACAUGGAAAUGAAGCCCAGAGGGAACCAGA